rnacentral:rRNA from 1 species
GAUAGCCCAGCUUUGCUUGGGUGGAUUAGUUGGCGAACGGGGUGAGUAACACGUGAGUAACCUGCCCCUGACUCUGGGAUAAGCGUUGGAAACGACGUCUAAUACUGGAUAUGAUCACUGGCCGCAUGGUCUGGUGGUGGAAAGAUUUUUUGGUUGGGGAUGGACUCGCGGCCUAUCAGCUUGUUGGUGAGGUAAUGGCUCACCAAGGCGACGACGGGUAGCCGGCCUGAGAGGGUGACCGGCCACACUGGGACUGAGACACGGCCCAGACUCCUACGGGAGGCAGCAGUGGGGAAUAUUGCACAAUGGGCGAAAGCCUGAUGCAGCAACGCCGCGUGAGGGAUGACGGCCUUCGGGUUGUAAACCUCUUUUAGUAGGGAAGAAGCGAAAGUGACGGUACCUGCAGAAAAAGCACCGGCUAACUACGUGCCAGCAGCCGCGGUAAUACGUAGGGUGCAAGCGUUGUCCGGAAUUAUUGGGCGUAAAGAGCUCGUAGGCGGUUUGUCGCGUCUGCUGUGAAAUCCCGAGGCUCAACCUCGGGCUUGCAGUGGGUACGGGCAGACUAGAGUGCGGUAGGGGAGAUUGGAAUUCCUGGUGUAGCGGUGGAAUGCGCAGAUAUCAGGAGGAACACCGAUGGNGAAGGCAGAUCUCUGGGCCGUAACUGACGCUGAGGAGCGAAAAGCAUGGGGAGCGAACAGGAUUAGAUACCCUGGUAGUCCAUGCCGUAAACGUUGGGCGCUAGAUGUAGGGACCUUUCCACGGUUUCUGUGUCGUAGCUAACGCAUUAAGCGCCCCGCCCUGGGGGAGUACG